GGCUAGGACAUCUUCUUCUUCAGCUAGUGUAUCUUUAGUCUCUCCUUCUCCAUCUUUAUCAACUAGCUGAUCCAUGAUCAUAUCAGUUAGGGUUUAGUGAUUAGAAUUUAGGGUUUAGUUUUAGAAGGUGAGAUGGUAUGGUUGGGGUCGAUAUUAACUUUUUCCAUAUGGACAUUUCAUAAUUUCACCAAUAUGUAUUAUAUUAGUUAUUUUGUUCCAUUUUAUUUGGGUCUAUGGUUUAUAUUUGGGUUUAUGAUUUAUAUUUGGGUUUGGGUUUAGUGAUUAGAGUUUAGGGUUUAGUAUUUAGAAGGUGAAGGGGAUGAUUGGGAUCAACAUUAACUUUUUCUAUGCAAUCAUAGACAUUUCAUAAUUUCAUAAAUAUCUACUAUGAUAUUUAUUUUGUUUCAUUCUAUUUGGGAUUAGGAUUUAUAUUUGGAUUUAAUAUUGGAAAAUAAUUUAUAGAUUAUAUUUGGGUUUAUAUAUUUUUUUUACUAGGGUUUAGAUUUAUUAAGUAGGGGUUUGGAUAUAUUAUUUAGCUCUUGUGAUUGGUUUUAUAUGUAUAGUUUCCAGCGGAUGUUUGGAUGAUGUACUAUGUCCCAGAGAUAAAAUAGCAUAUAUGCAACCGAGAUAAAAUAGUAUACGCGCAAUCUGGUAACAUUAACUUCUUCGUGCACUCAUCUUAAAAAUGGAAUGACUGAGGUUGGUAAAUGGAAUACAAAAUAUAUUGGAAAGAGAUAUAUUUUAAUCCAUCAAUUACUGUGCAUAGCAAAUCCAUAUGCGGUAAAUAGAUAAGUCACGUGGUUCUUUUCUCUUUUAUAAGUUAUCACCAAUUCACCUUUUUGUUGGACCACAUAGAUUACAGUCGACGAUAUCUGUAUUUCUGCUUUACCGGCAACUUGUUGUAAUAAAGGACAGAACCGGAUCAUAUGAUGGUUAAAUGUCACCGAUUCAAUUAUGUCAAAAUCAUAGUCAGUUUCUUAAUUACAUUUUUGAUUUGGCUAUCUCGCAAAUUCACCCUUUUUAAGGGACUCAAAACCCUUUUCUUUUAUUUUUGUUAUUGGUCGAGAAUGUGGAGCCGCCGUUAUUAGCUGAUCACCUCUUCUUUUCUUUUUGGUAUCUUCUUCUCCAUGACCAUUUCUUAUCUCCUCCCCACUUGUCUCUCCCGUGGGUCUUUUCUGCUCCUCCAUUACCAUUCAUGGGUUAGUGUGAAAGAAGGAUAGAUCAUUUUUCUUGUGUCCGUGUGUGCUGACGUUGGAGGAGACUAGAAGCACUGUUUACCACCACCGUCUCCGAUCCACUCGGCCAUCAACUGUGACUCGCCGGAGACGUUUCCCAUGUCACCGGAGCCCGGAGCGUCCGUGAUGUUAUAACCGUCAGGCUAUGUGCCAUUUUUCCAUGUUACUUUUGAGGCAAGUAACAUGUUGUCAUAAAUCUAUUUUAUUCAUAUUUGAUGAUGUCUCUCGUUUGACAUUGUUUCUUUUGAUCUGGUGCAUCUUUGGCAAUGAGGUCGACAUUAAUGGUAAAACUCUAGCUUUCUUGCUGAUCAAGUAAUUUCGUUUAUAGUCGCUUCUGGUUCUUCGUUAUUGGCUAAGGUGUUGCCGAGUGUUCGAAUAUCUGGACGGAUUGGUGUCUUGGGAUCAUUGUAUUUAUUUCGGUUUUAACUAAUGAUUUAUACGAAUUUUACAUUCGAUUUAUUUGAUAUGUUUUUAUCCUUCAAUUGAUGUAUUUCUUUUGAAUUUAUUCUAUUAAAUAUUAUGUUAUUUUGUUCGAUUUGGAAUAAAUCGGUUUAAUUUGGUAUUUUUCGGUUA